AUUGAACGCUGGCGGCAUGCUUUACACAUGCAAGUCGAACGGUAACAGGCCGCAAGGUGCUGACGAGUGGCGAACGGGUGAGUAAUGCAUUGGAACGUGCCCAGUCGUGGGGGAUAACGCAGCGAAAGUUGCGCUAAUACCGCAUACGAUCUAUGGAUGAAAGCGGGGGACCGUAAGGCCUCGCGCGAUUGGAGCGGCCGAUGUCAGAUUAGGUAGUUGGUGGGGUAAAGGCUCACCAAGCCGACGAUCUGUAGCUGGUCUGAGAGGACGACCAGCCACACUGGGACUGAGACACGGCCCAGACUCCUACAGGAGGCAGCAGUGGGGAAUUUUGGACAAUGGGCGCAAGCCUGAUCCAGCAAUGCCGCGUGCAGGAAGAAGGCCUUCGGGUUGUAAACUGCUUUUGUACGGAACGAAACGGUCCUGGUUAAUACCCGGGGCUAAUGACGGUACCGUAAGAAUAAGCACCGGCUAACUACGUGCCAGCCGCCGCUGUAAGAC
rnacentral:rRNA from 1 species